rnacentral:rRNA from 1 species
UACGAAGGGGGCUAGCGUUGUUCGGAAUUACUGGGCGUAAAGCGUGCGCAGGCGGCUUCUCAAGUCAGGGGUGAAAGCCCAGAGCUCAACUCUGGAAUUGCCUUUGAGACUGAGUGGCUUGAGUACGAGAGAGGUGAGUGGAAUUCCCAGUGUAGAGGUGAAAUUCGUAGAUAUUGGGGAAGAACACCGGUGGCGAAGGCGGCUCACUGGGCUCGUAACUGACGCUCAUGCACGACAGCGUGGGGGAUCAAAACAGG